UUCUUUAGAUUUCUGUGCUACAUCCUCUGUCGCAUGGACUACUGGGGAGUACAAGAAUAGUAGUUCAAAAUGCUUGAAGGCCAUCACAUUGAGAAAUAAUGACAUAAAACAUCAGGAAUGCUGACAUAAAACAGAAAAUCUUAACCUUUGAAAUCAGCCAAGAUCAGCUAAGUUUUGCCACUGGCUGAGACUCAUCACCCACCUUGAACAGCAACUAUGAAGGAGGAGGAAGAAGAGGAGACAUCCUAAUGUUAUGACUGAUAGACCCACUGAGUAUGAACAAAUGUAGUAGGGAGCCAGAUCUCUGCUCAGACCCAUCUGUCCUCAACCAUCUAAUAAGGCAGUCACAGUUUUGGCAAGAAUCCCCCCAACCCCAAAGGUUAUUUCAUCUUGUUUUCAUCGGAUGGACAAGAGUGCGGUUACACAGUUACAUAAAAUCCUGUGUUAUGUAAGGUGAAAAAUGGACAGGACAGUCCAGGGAUAGGUAGCAGAAAAGUGAAAUAGAAGCUGGUAGGUCUUUGGUAAGAAUGUUGACUAAUAAGUUGAAUUGUUUAUGUAUGCUGAAUGCAAACCUUUGACAGAAAAUGCUUCUAAAAAGUGCAUUUUUUUUUCCUGGACACUUUAAUGUUUUGAGAUGCUUGCAUUUAUUGUUAUAAUUUGUAAACUAUGUAAACUGACUUUUCAAACUUCUCAAUUUUUUCCUCUCCAUUUUUUUUUUGGGGGGGGGGAGUUAAGGAAUGAAUGUGUCAUACUUUUAGUUCUUCUUUGAAGAUUACAUUCAAACAUAUAUUCCUUCUAAUUUAGUAUAUGUUCCUUAUUUGGCUGCAUGGCAAAAUUAUAUUUUUGAAGUUUUCAAAGUUUCUGAUCAAUCCUAGAUAUUGUUGUCAAUGUGUGAAUGGUUGCAGAUACAAUCUAACAUUAUUUAAUGUGUGUCCCUUUAUUUUAUUCACGGUUAUUAUUAAUACUAACUUUAUAAGAAAUUACCAACUUUGCAUUUUAAAAGGAAAUGAUUAAAGAAAUUAAAUCCAAUUUAGAAAUAUCUACAGCAGAUAUUUCCCUUCUGAUUAUCCAUAUUGUUUUAAGGUAUACAAUAUUCAAUACUUGCAUCAUUUUUCAUUCAUGAUUCUGUUGAAUGUAUUUUUCUUAAAAAUAUUAAAAUUGGCCCCUUUUAAAAUUUGAGUUGUGGGGGGGAGAGAUCACUGGUUUCUAAUGAACUGCGUGGAGCAUUCUAUUUCAUUCUCGAAUUUCUUCCCUGAGUACUCUCUCAGCCUUAUAACAGGUUUCACUUCAUCUGUCCAUUUUUUAUAAAGAUGAUGUGGCUAAUUAUUUUAUCUUCCCCCUCCCCCAUUGUUAUUUUGUUAUAAAUCUUAAUAAUCUUAUAUUGUUAUAAAUCUUAGCAAUCUUAUAUUGUUUCAAUACAAGGAUAUUUGUACAGUAUUAAUCAAUGUUAUUACCUGUUAGUAGACUAUUGUUUAGAUAACAGUGUUAGAAAUAGAGAACAAAGGAAAAUAUAUUCUAUCAAUAUUAAUUACAAUUUAGAAUAUCAAUAUUACAAGCAUAAAAUUAUUUUUCAUACAAAUUUGAGUGUAUAACAUUAGAAAGGAGAAACUGCUGCAGAUUACCUCAAAAUGUUUGUUACACAAUAUAGGUUUCAGUCUUGAACUGAUUGCUUAAUACUGAACUUUCCAUUGUGUAUGUGUGUGUGUGUAUAUAUAUACACAUACAGUACACACAU